rnacentral:rRNA from 1 species
AUUGAACGCUGGCGGCAGGCCUAACACAUGCAAGUCGAACGGUAGCACAGAGAGCUUGCUCUCGGGUGACGAGUGGCGGACGGGUGAGUAACGUCUGGGAAACUGCCCGAUGGAGGGGGAUAACUACUGGAAACGGUAGCUAAUACCGCAUAACGUCGCAAGACCAAAGUGGGGGACCUUCGGGCCUCACACCAUCGGAUGUGCCCAGAUGGGAUUAGCUAGUAGGUGGGGUAAUGGCUCACCUAGGCGACGAUCCCUAGCUGGUCUGAGAGGAUGACCGGCCACACUGGAACUGGGACACGGUCCAGACUCCGACGGGAGGCAGCAGUGGGGAAUAUUGCACAAUGGGCGCAAGCCUGAUGCAGCCAUGCCGCGUGUAUGAAGAAGGCCUUCGGGUUGUAAAGUACUUUCAGCGGGGAGGAAGGCGGUGAAGUUAACAGCUUCACCGAUUGACGUUACCCGCAGAAGAAGCACCGGCUAACUCCGUGCCAGCAGCCGCAGUAA